rnacentral:snoRNA from 1 species
GUCCUCUUGGGGUUGCACUUGGAGAAUUUCCAGUACUCUACCAUUCUCGACUACGGGAGGGAGAGUCAAGCAGAGGCAUAUCCAUUCCAUUCCUAGCUUGGGCAGUGGCUAGCGAGUGGAAGGCAAUCUGCUACGAGU